GAAAUGUGAUAAGUAGUGUGAAUAGCAGAAUUCAGUGAAUCAUCGAAUCUUUGAACGCACAUUGCGCCCUUUGGUAUUCCAAAGGGCAUGCCUGUUCGAGCGUCAUUUGUACCCUCAAGCUUUGCUUGGUGUUGGGCGUCUUGUCUCUAGCUUUGCUGGAGACUCGCCUUAAAGUAAUUGGCAGCCGGCCUACUGGUUUCGGAGCGCAGCACAAGUCGCACUCUCUAUCAGCAAAGGUCUAGCAUCCAUUAAGCCUUUUUUCAACUUUUGACCUCGGAUCAGGUAGGGAUACCCGCUGAACUUAAGC
rnacentral:misc_RNA from 1 species